rnacentral:rRNA from 1 species
UACGGAAGGCAGCAGUGAGGAAUAUUGCACAAUGGGCGCAAGCCUGAUGCAGCCAUGCCGCGUGUAUGAAGAAGGCCUUCGGGUUGUAAAGUACUUUCAGUCGUGAGGAAGGUGUUAAGGUUAAUAACCUUAGCAAUUGACGUUAGCGACAGAAGAAGCACCGGCUAACUCCGUGCCAGCAGCCGCGGUAAUACGGAGGGUGCGAGCGUUAAUCGGAAUUACUGGGCGUAAAGGGCACGCAGGCGGUUAAUUAAGUUGGAUGUGAAAUCCCCGGGCUUAACCUGGGAAUGGCAUUCAAGACUGGUUAGCUAGAGUCUUGUAGAGGGGGUAGAAUUCCAUGUGUAGCGGUGAAAUGCGUAGAGAUGUGGAGGAAUACCGGUGGCGAAGGCGGCCCCUGGACAAGACUGACGCUCAUGUGCGAAAGCGUGGGGAGCAAACAGGAUUAGAUACC